GCUUAGGUAGUUCAAUGGUUAGAACAUUCGCCUCAUAUGCGUAUAAUAUAGGUUCAAUUCCUAUCUUAAGUU
rnacentral:tRNA from 2 species